rnacentral:tRNA from 1 species
GGGGAUAUAGCUCAGUUGGUUAGAGCGCUACGUUGACAUCGUAGAGGUCAGAGAUUCGAAUUCUCUUAUCCCCACCA